GUGAGGAAUAUUGGUCAAUGGUCGCAAGACUGAACCAGCCAUGCCGCGUGCAGGAAGACGGUCCUAUGGAUUGUAAACUGCUUUUAUACAGGAAGAAACCCUCCCACGUGUGGGAGCUUGACGGUACUGUAGGAAUAAGGAUCGGCUAACUCCGUGCCAGCAGCCGCGGUAAUACGGAGGGUGCAAGCGUUAUCCGGAUUUAUUGGGUUUAAAGGGUGCGUAGGCUGGAAGGUCAGUCAGCGGUGAAAAGCUGUCGCUUAACGAUAGUCUUGCCGCAGAUACUUCCUUUCUUGGAUGAGGAGGAGGCCACUGGAACGGAUGGUGUAGCGGUGAAAUGCAUAGAUAUCAUCCAGAACACCGAUUGCGAAGGCAGGUGGCUGUACCUUAAUCGACGCUGAUGCACGAAAGCAUGGGGAGCAAACAGGAUUAGAUACCCCUGUAGUCC
rnacentral:rRNA from 1 species